GACAAGUUCAAUGUGCCAAUGGUGGUUUG
rnacentral:piRNA from 1 species